rnacentral:rRNA from 1 species
GUACACGCUGUGACUAGCAUAUCAAUAAGCGGAGGAAAAGAAACUAACAAGGAUUCCCUUAGUAACGGCGAGUGAAGCGGGAAGAGCUCAAAUUUGAAAUCUUAAAGGGUUUCCCUUUACGAAUUGUAGUUUAAAGAAGUGUUUUCUGUUGAGGUUUUGGUAAAAGUUCUUUGGAAUAGGACAUCAUAGAGGGUGAGAAUCCCGUAUUUGACCGUUAUUUCUAGCUUUGUGAUACACUUUCAAAGAGUCGGAUUGUUUGGGAAUGCAGUCCAAAAUGGGUGGUAAAUUUCAUCUAAAGCUAAAUAUUGGCGAGAGACCGAUAGCGAACAAGUACCGUGAGGGAAAGAUGAAAAGAACUUUGAAAAGAGAGUUAAACAGUACGUGAAAUUGUCAAAAGGGAAGCGUUUGACACCAGUGUUGUUUUUCUGAAAUCAAUUAAAGAACUGUUUAUGCUAAGUUGUUUAGACUUUAUCAGCUAACUGUUUAGUUUUGAGCUUUUCUUUAAUGCACUUUUCAGUUAACAAGUCAACAUCAAUUUCUUUUGCUGUAAAAAAGCUUGAGGAAGGUGGCUUGAGAUUCGUCUUAAGUGUUUAUAGCCUCUUGCCUAUGCAGUCGGAGAGAUUGAGGUCUGCAGCGUAGAUCCUUCGGGGCUAAAUGCAUUUGUGCUAAGUUAUAGCAUUUUAUAGACAACUUGUUGACUAUGAUUUGUCUUGUAGCUUACUCGCUUAUGUUAUUUUACCUACGCUUAGGAUGUUGAGCGCAUGUCUCUCUCU